CGGGGAGCUCUCAGUCUGGGGAUUCAGGCAGGAGGACUAGUUCUUUGAGCCACCAGUGGAGGGGCAGAGGCUGUGUUGAUCAUUGGUACCAGCCUACAGGCCGGAGGUUAAAAAGACAAAACCACCCCUCAACAAAAAUUUAUUAAAAUAAAGAGAAAAAAAGAAGUCAAAACUGGGUUUUUGCAUCCGUUUCUCCCAAGAUAGGUAUAGUUUUUAUUCAUACUCUUUUUUUUCCCCAAAGAUUGGCACCUGGGCUAACAACUGUUGCCAAUCUUUUUUUUUUUUUUUCUGCUUUAUCUCCCCAAACUGCCCCCUGUACACAGUUGUAUAUCUUAGUUGCACGUCCUUCUAGUUGUGGGUUGUGGGAUGCCACCUCAACGCAGCCUGACUGGCAGUGCCAUGUUCGCGCCCAGGAUCCGAACCCUGGGCGGCCGCAGCAGAGCACCCGAACUUAACCACUCGGCCAUGGAGCCGGCCCCUAUUCAUACUCUUAAGAUAGUAGGAAAUGGUGGUCUGCAUUAUCAAAACCAGCUCUUAUGUAAUUCAGAGGGCCGGUAUUCCAGAGAGUUGGGGUUUUUUAAGAUUAAAAUUUGAGAGUAAGAAUUUGCCAAUAUUUGCUUCAGCAGAUACUUAUUGAGGCCCUGUUGUGUCCUGAGCUGUCGGCGGGGUGCCAGGGCCAACAGGGCCAGCAAACGGAAAGACCUGAUCCCGGCUCAUAAGACUGUCACAUCCAGCAGAGAAGAUUCAGGGACGGAGAGACACGUGCUGUGGCGGAGGAGUGGAAGGUUCGCAGGAGAGGAGUGCAAGUGGAGCCAUGAAAAAUGGGAUUUAGCCAGGUCAAGAGUGGAAGCAAGACCUUGAAGAUAAUCAACUGGAUCACUGGUAAGGACCCGCGGAUGGAGGCGAAGGGCGAUCUGGGGCCCCGAUUCCCUCCUCUCCGUCCUCAGCACCAGAGCUGCUGUUGGAAAGCUUCGGGUCCUCCGGGAAGCAGAGUGCUUAAAGGAAGGGACUUCCGGGGCUCACAGCCUGACUGAAGUUCUGAGGGCGGCGUGAGCGGCUCCCUCCUUCUGAAGAUACACAGCGCAUAUUGAAGGCGUGACAGUCUGAAUGAGGUGGCGACUGUGUGUGUGCAUAUUUGGAAAUACUGGCUAUUUGUCACUCAUGAGUCCCUUCACAUGUGUCACUCUAAAAAUGAUUUUCUCCGAUGAGACAAUUUAUGCUUAAAAACAUUCAAUUGUUAAAUGUUUCAAUGCUUUGCCUAAAACUCCUGUGGUGACGUUACCAUGACAAUAAGUUUUAAAAAUUCAUUUCUUUCCCUCACAUACUAACAAACAUAACAUCACUUUACCAAAUAAUAUGGACAGAAACUGUGCUAGAAACUAAGAAUGCUCAGUACAACGUGCGAAGGCAAUCCCCUAACUACAGUGCCGUAAGAAAUGUGAGUUAAGACUUGGAUGAUCCAUUUAAAUGGAUUUCACAGGUUAAAAAAAAGGUUGGACAAGUAGCUGUUAGUGAAAAAUUUAUCGUAAUAUGGCAAUUUAUGAUCUUGGUCUCUUUUCCCAACUCGGUACAAAGCCAAUAAAGAAAUGUGAGCUACUCUGACAACCUUGAAACAGACUCCAGGGGUGUUAUCCAGAGCGUGACCAUUAUGACCAAAGCCUAGGGUGAAACUCAGGAAAUUCAUAUAUACAAAGAUACACAAAUUGGUCUAGUUAUCCAGUAGGAACUGUCUGUCUGAGCUCUACCAAACAAUAAAAGGGAAAAACUCCACAUAUUUGAGGCAUUGUGUUUCCUUCAUGAAGUUUAGAUUUUUGUCAGAAUAUCACUAACUAGUGUUUCACUAUUUCCAUAUAAACACACAGAAACGUACUGAUCGUGUAAUACUACCCCUUUUCCCUUCAAACGGCACAAAACAAAAGCUCUUAAUAAAAUACCCACGUGCAUUUAUGCCGGAACUGGCUAAGUCGCUACCUGUAAGGCAGUGUUUACUGUUCGGCAAUGGGGUAAAUCUGACAGGAACAGUUUCAUUUAGAGGACAGACUGUUUUUCGGAUUUCAGCUGUGCCAACUGCUUGGGCAAACUAUUUCUAAAAUACUUAAGAACUAGCUUUUUUUCUUUUAAAGAUUGGCACCUCAGCUAACAACUGUUGCCAAUCUUUUAUUUUUCUGCUUUUUCUCCCUGAAUCCCCCCAGUACAUAGUUGUAUAUUCUAGUUGUGGGUCCUUCUAGUUGUGGCAUGUGGGAUGCUGCCUCAACGUGGCUUGAUGAGCAGUGCCAUGUCCACGCCCAGGAUCCGAACCAGCGAAACCCUGGGCCGCCAAAGUGGAGCGCAUGAACUUAACCACUCGGCCAUGGGGUCGGCCCCAAGAAGUAGUUUUGGGCCUCUGACUUGUAAGAUGAGGUGGCUGGACAAGGUUAGUAAGUGGGAGCAGCACUGGGGUGGCUAUGUAAGGACCGCGUGAGAGCUUGUCAGCAGACAGAUUGCUACUGAAAUACCCUGAAGACUGUUUCCCAAAGGUCGGGAGUAUCUGUAGUCUAACAGACGCCUUAGGGAAUUCUGACAGUCCCCAGAUUUCAGAAACACAGGACUAAGGGAUCUCCAGAUUUUUUCUGCUCUAACCAUUUCUGAUUUGUUUGGGUUUUGCUAGGCAAAUAUAAGAGGUAACACAAAUUAAACUACCCAUUCACAAUUUUUAACUUUUUAAUUUAUAAAUAAUUUGACUCAUGAGAAGUUGCAAAAAUAGUCUAUAGUUUGCACAUAAACCUUCACCCAGCAUUCCCAAAUAACAUCUUUCAUAACCAGAGUAUAUUUUCAAAACUAGGAAAUUGACAUUGGUACAACACUACUAACUGAACUACAGACCUUACUUGUAUUUAACCAAUUUUUAUAUGCGCCUUAUUUUGGUAUAUGGCACUAUGAAAUUCUGUCACAAGUAUUGAUUUGUGUAAACACCACCACAAUCAGGACACAGAACUUUUCCAUCACCACCGUGAAACUCCCGCGUGCUACCCUUUUAUUAUUAAGACUCUACCUCAAACCUUAAUCUCUGGCAACCACUAAUCUCUUCUCCAUUGCUGUAAUUGUCAUUUCAAGGGUGUUAUGUAAAUGAAAUCAUACAGGAUGUAUGUAACCUUUUGAGACUGGCUUUUUGUACUUAGCAUAAUGCCACUGAGAUCCAUAGAAGUUGUUGUACAUAACAAUAGUUUCUUUUUAUGGCUAAUAUUUAUUUACGGAUGUACCAGUUUAUCUGUUUGUCCCCUGAAGGACAUUUAGGUAGUUCUUGGCUAACAAAUAAAGCUGCCAUGAACACGUGUGUACAGG
rnacentral:lncRNA from 1 species